UACGGUAGGGGGCUAGCGUUGUCCGGAAUCAUUGGGCGUAAAGGGCGCGUAGGCGGUCGUGACAAGUCACUUGUGAAAUCUCCGGGCUUAACUCGGAACGGUCAAGUGAUACUGUCGGACUAGAGUACAGAAGGGGCAACUGGAAUUCUCGGUGUAGCGGUGAAAUGCGUAGAUAUCGAGAGGGAACACCUGCGGCGAAGGCGGGUUGCUGGGCUGA
rnacentral:rRNA from 1 species